rnacentral:rRNA from 1 species
UGGGGAAUCUUGCGCAAUGGCCGAAAGGCUGACGCAGCGACGCCGCGUGUGGGAGGACGCCUUUCGGGGUGUAAACCACUGUUACCCGGGACGAACACGGCUAUUCGUAGCCGCUGACGGCACCGGGUGAGGAAGCACCGGCUAACUCCGUGCCAGCAGCCGCGGUAAUACGGAGGGUGCGAGCGUUGUCCGGAAUCAUUGGGCGUAAAGGGCGCGUAGGUGGCCCGGUCAGCGUGCGGUGAAAGCUCGGGGCUCAACCCCGAGUCGGCCGUGCGAACUGCUGGGCUCGAGCACUGUAGAGGCAGGCGGAAUUCCGGGUGUAGCGGUGGAAUGCGUAGAGAUCCGGAAGAACACCGGUGGCGAAGGCGGCCUGCUGGGCAGUAGCUGACACUGAGGCGCGACAGCGUGGGGAGCAAACA